UGUAACGGAUCGCCUGGCACCCCGACUGGGUACCUCCGUUGAAGGAUGCUCCUAGCGCUUCCUGAGGACUCCAAGCACUCUGGCAGACACCACAAUCACCGAACCGGAGAAACAAAUAAAUUCUCCCAAGCAUAUGAAUGCUGUACACAGUUGAAUAGGAACCAUACGAAUAGGUUUACUCUCCUAGCAGUCAAACUGGAACAGCAUACAAUAAAUCCUUCCCCCAAUAAUGAGACGACACUUCACUUUGAGGGUUAAAACAGGAACUCCCUGUACUGUCACAUACAGUCUCUUUUAUUCCCAAUCCACAAACAUAGUACAGCCCACAGGGCGUUACAAAAUAACCAAUCACAUCACAGUUACAUCCCACAUAUUCCCUCCCCUUAUCCUGAGAGGAAACUCAAUUAUACAUACAGUUAAAACAUACUUUCUACCCAACUUUCAUAACUCCAAAACCAUACAUCACAUUCACAUAAAAUUACAUAUUCACAAUCAAU